UACGGAGGAUCCGGGCGUUAUCCGGAUUUAUUGGGUUUAAAGGGUGCGCAGGCGGGAGAUUAAGUCGGUGGUGAAAUUUUGCAGCUCAACUGUAAAAGUGCCUUCGAAACUGGUUUCCUUGAGUGUAGAUGAAGUAGGCGGAAUUUGUGGUGUAGCGGUGAAAUGCAUAGAUAUCACGAGGAACUCCGAUUGCGCAGGCAGCUUACUAAACUACUACUGACGCUCAGGCACGAAGGCGUGGGGAUCAAACAGGAUUAGAUACCCCUGUAGU
rnacentral:rRNA from 1 species